rnacentral:rRNA from 1 species
CCCUCAAGAUGAGAUUUCCCAUUUCUUCGGAAAGUAAGAUCCCUGAAAGAUGAUCAGGUAGAUAGGUUUGGAGUGGAAGUGUAGCGAUACAUGGAGCGGACAAAUACUAAUCGAUCGAGGACUUAACCAAAA